UUAAUGUCGAUGGUGGAGGCACAACAAUGGCGUGAUGAUGGUGCAACAACAAAGUAGUGGUGGUGGAUAUGACAAUAGUGAUGGUUUGAGAUGGAGGAAAAGGAAGAGAGAGAGGAAGAUGUGGAGAAAGAGAAAAAAGAAGAGAAGGUGACUCACAUAAUGAUGAUGGUGGCGUUGAUAGAGGAGGAGGGAGGUGAGGUGGAGAAGGAAGAAAAGGAAAAAAAGGAAGAAAAAGAGAUGGAGAAAGAAAAUGAGGAGGGGAAGUAGAGGAGGUGCUUGACGUGACAAUAAUAUUAAGGGAAGAAGGAAGGUGAGUAAUGGGGAGGAUGAAAAAAAAAAGAAUAAUAAAAAAAAUAAAAGACUCAAUCACAAUAUUUAUCAACGAAUUUUACGAUCGAAAUUCAUCAAUAAAUUUACCAACAAAUAUAGGUUACAAAUAAUUACUAAUAAAUUUUUUAUCAUCAUUAAUUACUGAUAAAUUUAUCAGUCAAUAAAAUUUAUUAAACAACAUAUACACUUUUGACGGAUUUUUAACUAAAAAAUUCAAAUUAUUAAUAU
rnacentral:lncRNA from 1 species